AGAGCGAACGCUGGCGGCAGGCCUAAUACAUGCAAGUCGAGCGCACCUUCGGGUGAGCGGCGGACGGGUGAGUAACGCGUGGGAAUGUGCCCUUUGGUACGGAACAACUGAGGGAAACUUCAGCUAAUACCGUAUGUGCCCUUCGGGGGAAAGAUUUAUCGCCAUUGGAGCAGCCCGCGUUGGAUUAGGUAGUUGGUGAGGUAAAGGCUCACCAAGCCUACGAUCCAUAGCUGGUCUGAGAGGAUGAUCAGCCACACUGGGACUGAGACACGGCCCAGACUCCUACGGGAGGCAGCAGUGGGGAAUCUUGCGCAAUGCGCGAAAGCGUGACGCAGCAACGCCGCGUGGGGGAAGAAGGCCUUCGGGUUGUAAACCCCUUUCAGUUGGACGAAGCUUCGUCGGUGAACAGCCGGCUGGAGUGACGGUACCUUCAGAGAAGCCCCGGCUAACUACGUGCCAGCAGCCGC
rnacentral:rRNA from 1 species